AAUUAAGUAUCUUAAUAUAAAGUAAUAAUUUUUUAAAUUAUAAAUAGUAAAUUUACUCUUAAUUA
rnacentral:tRNA from 1 species